UUUUUAACCCUAAUCCUUUCCUUUGCUGUGGUUAUGGCCCUGAGUCCUUAAAUUAUAGGCUCUCCUGCAGUUUCAAAAAGCUAAUUCACACUACUGUGUGCAUUAGAAAGGUGGUAUAUAUGAUAUUCCACUAAGGGAAACCCUAGGAACAUUAAACUCCUACUAGUAACUGGUCACGAGUCAGGGCUAGAACUGACACUAGUCAUUUUUCUUCACUGACAAGUUUUCAUUAUGUGGCUUUCCCAGAACAAUUUAGAAAUUGAUCUGCAACUGAUGGAAGCUGGGAUGAAUUGGGCGCAUAAGUGAACCCAAAGCAUCAGAGCAAAGUCAAAGCGAACAUCUGGCUCCAGCUUUGAGUACAAGAGACUUGUGUUUCCAUGGAAUAAUCUUGGGAUCCAUGUGGAGUGCAAGAGAUUGGAACAGAAGGAGUUCUCAAAAAAUAAAAACUUCGGGCGGGUGCGGUGGCUCACGCCUGUAAUCCCAGGACUUUGGGAGGCCGAGGUGGGCGGAUCACGAGGUCAGGAGAUCGAGACCAUCCUGGCUAACAUGGUGAAACCCCAUCUCUACUAAAAAUACAAAAAAAAAAAAAAAAAAAAAUAGCUGGGCGUGGUGGCAGGUGCCUGUAGUUCCAGCUACUUGGGAGGCUGAGGCAGGAGAAUGGCGUGAACAUGGGAGGUGGAGCUUGCAGUGAGCCUAGAUUGCGCCACUGCACUCCAGCCUGGACGACAGAGUGAGACUCCAUCUCAAAAAAUAAAUAAAUAAAUAAAUAAAUAAAUAAAUAAUAAAAAAUUCUUGUUUGCUCUACAAGAGUAGCUUAACUUCUUUUCAAAGUACAUUUCUGGAU
rnacentral:lncRNA from 1 species